GAUACUCAACUGUUUGACUCAUCUUUGCUAAGCUCUUUGUUCUCAAUUUAAAGGAAGACCUCAUCUUCAAUGGAAGCUGCCAGAUUAUAAUCAUCUUACAAGUAACAGAGGACCAGCAGGUCGCUUGUUGAGACAAGACAAAUUACAGCGACAUUACGCUGCCUGCUUGCAGUCAGUCUUGCCUGAGAAAGUGGACCAUCGAGUCAACUGAUGCUGAGGACGAGCGGGCUGUAUGCCUGGGAAACGCAGAAGAGGAAGGCAAAGAAAAAAAAAUAUGGACACUGUGAAAGAAAUAACAGAUCUAAAUGUGCGAGAUAACACUGACGCUGCGAGGGAUCGUUCGAUGUGGAGAGCUAUGAUGGCCCAUGUGUGUAACAUGCAAGGCACAUGAAGGCGACGACGAUUUCCCUACAUGCCAUUCGUUCAACUGGAAGGUCCUGACUCUUAAACUGCUUUCUCCACCUGGCAGGGAAGGGAAAGAAAUGCUGGUGGAUGCGGUAUGAUGCGCACAGGUCCAACCAGUCAGUGGGAUACAGGGAGUGUGAGCAGGAACAGUAUCCUGGGGUGGCAUAUGGUGUUAUGAAGGUGGCACUGAGUGGCACGUACUGGAUAGGCAGCUUCUAGGCCUGCCCACGUCUCCCCACAGGAUGGUGCACCUGAUACGUGCUGCCAUACUUAUACCACGCCAGUGCCCUGGAUGAGCAUGCUGGUUGGCAUAGUAAGAGGGCUAUUACAGAGAAAGGAAGGUUUUGGAUGAUCACCUUUCCCAGCAUGGUAUAGCCAGACUGGCCAUAGAUUACCUGGUCACAAAGAAAGGUGGCACUUGUGUUGCUAUUGGUCAAGAUUGGGACUCCUACAUUGCAGGUGAGUUAGGGAACCACACUCAGCUGGCUGAUCACAUCUGAGAGUCGUGGAUAAGGUUAAGUGGGAGACCAGGUCAUUACACUCUAGGGUGGGGCUGGUGGCCUUUUGGGUGCAGAGAGGCAGGUGGACUACUGUAGUACACUGAGUGAGUAUUUGGUUUACAGUACCGUGUAUUAUACUUUUGUGUAGUGGGGUGUUUGUGAGGGUCAUACUAGUCUGAGAAUUGAAUUAUCAUGAUGUUGCACCUAUGUGGGGGUUAGUUUACUUGUUGGUCAAAAGCUGCUUCCAUCGUGCGGGCCCUGGAUUGGCUCGUGUGAAGAAUGCAGCAGCUCUUUCCCAUCGGCUGCCUUGUGUGGCUCCAGUGUCCGGAUUCAGGAACCUCAGGGGUAUAAGAAUAGCAUGUGCAAGAGACUUGCUCUCUCCUUUUGUCCCCUGCGCACGAUUUAUACUGCGGUCACGACCAGUGCUGAAGAACCAUUGUGAAGAUGUGUUCCAGACUUAGAUGGCCCGCAUGCGCUAUUAGCUAAGUAUCUGUUUGAAUAUUUAAUUUUGUAGUUUGUGCAACUUGGGGGACUUGGAUGUUUGGUCCAAUCUUUUACUGUUUGUAAAUAAGUGAUUAUUAUGUUUAUUCAUAAUCAGUUUCUUCCGUUGUGCUCAACAAACCCAUGAGCCCACUUCCACAUUAUACUCCUGCUACUGAACACAAGCCCAUUUCUUUCAGACACAGAAGUAUUAACAGUUAAAUCCAUCCAUUGUGCACAAAAGGUUAAUCCUGACCAGACACUUUAACCACAUUAAUAUUCAUCACAACGAGCUGAAACAUUAAUGUGGUGCUUCAUUGCUCUAGACUUAAAGGAGGAGGAAAUAACAUAUAAAGAUGUAGCCGGGAGAGAAAGAUAAAUGAGAAAAAAAUUAAUUUUUGAAAUAGGAUUUUAGUUUGCUUCUGUUAUAGAGGCUGCACGUGACAGUUGUUCAUUUUAUGUGCAGCAGUUUGAGAUACUUCCACAAGAUGGGUGCAGAAAAACUGUAUGAAUGCAUGUCUUUCUUUACUGGUUAUUGGGAAACUCAAUGAUCUUGUGUCAUAUGGAAUCACAAAUUGCAGAGACAAAAUGGCCAGGAUAAAAUGUGGAGAAGUAAGGGUGCAGAUAUUCAGGUUUUUAUCACAUUGUACCAGAAUUUCCUGGAGAAAUAACGAUGUGCUUAUGAUGAAAACUGUUGUUGAUUGACAUAAUAUUCUGGCAACAAAAUUGAGAAGCAAAUUGCUGGAUAAUUUUACUACUUUAUACUAAAUUUUUCUAACCUGUAAACACAUUGUUAAUGUCCCCAUGCAUGUACAUAUGUUGUUGCUUUUGAAUGAACCUCAUCAGAAUUUUUAAGGCUACUAUUUCAUGGUCUAAGGACCCUGGUAAUGAUGUGAUUUAUGAUUCUAACUCAAGCUCAGGUCUAGAAACAUUGAUGAAGAUAUCAAGUUGUUUCCGGUUUUAUACACUUAAAAAAAAGGGAAAAAUAAAUCCAAAAUAAAUGUUCAAUCCCUGUGUACGUGACUUUCACAAAAAAACCUGUCAGAUUGUCAAAUCAACAGAUUAAGUUCCAGAGCUGGUUGCAUGUCUGUUUUUCAAAUAUGGAUACAUU